ensembl:snoRNA
AAGCCAGCCAAUUAAUCUGAUUAUCUGAAUGUGAUUCUGCAGAAAUUUAGACAAAGCUGGCAAAAAUGAUGCUCUUUUAUGAGCCUUAAGGACAACUGAGGUCUUUACAGUCCCUGAAAAUGUCUAUAGUA